rnacentral:RNase_P_RNA from 1 species
GGCAAUUGCUUAUGAUAGUUUUUGCCGGUGAGAUAAAGUCCGGGCUCCAUCGGAAAAGAUGCCGGAUAAUAACCGGGCGCAAUCUGGCAGCUGCAUAAAUACUUGCACAGCCCAGAGCGCGACAGAUAGUGCAACAGAAAUUGUACCGCUUUUCAUGCUUUUGCAUGAUUAGUAAGGGUGAAAAGGCAGUGUAAGAGACUACCGGUCUGGUCGGUAACGGCCGACGCUUGUAAACCUCAUCUGGAGCAAGGUCAAGCAGCAGUUAUGUUUUUCCGAGCAGGUACUGCGGGUAGACCGCUGGAGCAGGGUGGUAACAUCCUGUGCGGAUAGAUGGUUACGCGUAAAUCUGAUUUUUUUCAGGUUUACAGGACAGAACCCGGCUUAUUGUCCCGUCUG